rnacentral:rRNA from 1 species
GACGAACGCUGGCGGCGUGCCUAAUACAUGCAAGUUGAGCGCUGAAGGUUGGUACUUGUACCAACUGGAUGAGCAGCGAACGGGUGAGUAACGCGUGGGGAAUCUGCCUUUGAGCGGGGGACAACAUUUGGAAACGAAUGCUAAUACCGCAUAAAAACUUUAAACACAAGUUUUAAGUUUGAAAGAUGCAAUUGCAUCACUCAAAGAUGAUCCCGCGUUGUAUUAGCUAGUUGGUGAGGUAAAGGCUCACCAAGGCGAUGAUACAUAGCCGACCUGAGAGGGUGAUCGGCCACAAUGGGACUGAGACACGGCCCAAACUCCUACGGGAGGCAGCAGUAGGGAAUCUUCGGCAAUGGACGAAAGUCUGACCGAGCAACGCCGCGUGAGGGAAGAAGGGUUUCGGAUCGUAAAACUCUGUUGGUAGAGAAGAACGUUGGUGAGGGUGGAAAGCUCAUCAAGUGACGGUAACUACACAGAAAGGGACGGCUAACUACGUG